rnacentral:rRNA from 1 species
CAUGCCUUACACAUGCAAGUCGAACGGCAGCACGGGAGCAAUCCUGGUGGCGAGUGGCGAACGGGUGAGUAAUAUAUCGGAACGUGCCCAGUCGUGGGGGAUAACGUAGCGAAAGUUACGCUAAUACCGCAUACGAUCUACGGAUGAAAGCGGGGGACUCGCAAGAGCCUCGCGCGAUUGGAGCGGCCGAUAUCAGAUUAGGUAGUUGGUGGGGUAAAGGCUCACCAAGCCAACGAUCUGUAGCUGGUCUGAGAGGACGACCAGCCACACUGGAACUGAGACACGGUCCAGACUCCUACGGGAGGCAGCAGUGGGGAAUUUUGGACAAUGGACGCAAGUCUGAUCCAGCCAUUCCGCGUGCAGGAUGAAGGCCCUCGGGUUGUAAACUGCUUUUGUACGGAACGAAACGGUGAGCUCUAAUACAGUUUGCUAAUGACGGUACCGUAAGAAUAAGCACCGGCUAACUACGUG